rnacentral:snRNA from 1 species
GUGAUCACCUCAGCAGCACAUACACUAAAAUUGGAAUAGUACAGAGAAGAUUAGCAAGGAUGACAUGCAAAUUCGUGAAGCAUUCCAUUUUUUU